rnacentral:rRNA from 1 species
AACGAACGCUGGCGGCAGGCUUAACACAUGCAAGUCGAGCGGAUGUAGCAAUACAUUAGCGGCGGACGGGUGCGUAACACGUGGGAAUGUGCUCUUGGGUGGGGAAUAACGCAGGGAAACUUGCGCUAAUACCGCAUAAUGUCUUCGGACCAAAGAUUUAUCGCCCAAGAAUCAGCCGCGGCGGAUUAGCUAGUUGGUGGGGUAAAGGCCUACCAAGGCGACGAUCCGUAGCUGGUCUUAGAGGAUGAUCAGCCACACUGGGACUGAGACACGGCCCAGACUCCUACGGGAGGCAGCAGUGGGGAAUAUUGGGCAAUGGGCGAAAGCCUGACCCAGCCAUGCCGCGUGAGUGAUGAAGGCCUUAGUGUUGUAAGCUCUUUCAGUAGGGACGAUGAUGACGGUACCUACAGAAGAAGCCCGCGUAACUUCGUGCCAGCAGCCGCGGUAAUACGAAGGGGCAAGCGUUGUUC